rnacentral:rRNA from 1 species
UACGGAGGGAGCUAGCGUUGUUCGGAAUUACUGGGCGUAAAGCGCGCGUAGGCGGCUUCGUAAGUUAGAGGUGAAAGCCCGGGGCUCAACCCCGGAACUGCCUUUAAGACUGCAUCGCUUGAAUCCGGGAGAGGUGAGUGGAAUUCCGAGUGUAGAGGUGAAAUUCGUAGAUAUUCGGAAGAACACCAGUGGCGAAGGCGGCUCACUGGACCGGUAUUGACGCUGAUGUGCGAAAGCGUGGGGAGCAAACAGG